rnacentral:lncRNA from 1 species
GGUUUUAGGUGGUAUUUGUAUGGGGGAAUGGAUAUGGAAUGGUAUGAGAGUGGUUAGGGUGGAUGAUAGGUGCGGCAAGGGUUUGUUUCUGGCAGAAAUUAGGGAGAAUGGUGAUGGAAGGCUGCGACAGAGAGUGGGGAUGAUUUCUGGCGUGAUUUAUGUAUUAUGAUGGGCGGUGGUUUGGCUAGGGCUGAGAUAUGAGUACAUAUAGGCACCUAAAAGCCUAGGGUAAUCAGAUAUGGACUUGGAUAACCCAAAUCCACAAGGAAAAAGGCUUUAGAAAUCAGAAUCCACAAGGAAAAAGGCCUAGGGGGUGUGGCAGGUUUGGAUAGGGUAAGAUAAGGCUUCUAGAAAGCCUUGCAAGGCAAGGAAAAGGGUUAUAGAAAGGGGUAAGUGCGGCAAGGGUUAGGGGAAAAAGGAUAGGGCUUCUAGAAACCCAAAACCAAGAGGAAAUAGACCCUAACCCACGACAAGGAUAAGGAAAUGCUCUCCAACCUUUGUUUGUGUCUUCCAACGCUUAAGAACCUUCUAAUGUUGCUGAAACUUAAAGCCAUUUAGGUUUAGGAAAGAUCAACCCAAAAUAGCAACUUUUAGGCUUAACUUUCCUACUUCAAGUAGGAAACCUUGUUUGAGUAGGAAUCUUCAUUCUUCUAGGAAUCCAUCUUCAACUAGGAAUCCCUUGUUAAUUAGGAAUCCUUCUUCAAUUAGGACUCCUUCUUGGACUAGGAAUCCUCAAAUCUUCAAACUUCAAUUUCGUCCAAACCUUUUAUUCCAAGCAUGUGCUUAUUCAAUCCAAGCUCACUUUUGCUCCAAAAAGCUCCAAUUUGCAACUUUUUGUAUAAUAUUCCCUUAAAACCUGAAAACACAUAGAAAUAGCUUAAAAGACUACUUUAACUAAGAAAACAUAAUGAAAAUGCAUAAGAACUAGCUAACUAAGGCGCAUAAAUAUGCUCCUAUCAAAUUCCCCCACACUUAGCUUUUGCUAGUCCUCGAGCAAAACAAAGAAUCAAAGAAAAACAAAACGAAACAAAACAAACAAACAAAACCCAAACCUUCCAACGUUUACCUUAGGGAUUUCCAAUGCACAUGACAUAUUAAAAAUCAUCAUUCCCACAGAUUUUAGUCAUCUUCACACUUAAGCACAUACUUAAGCAUAGUCACUAUUUACUAGUUCACAUUUAACCAAUUAAAACGAUGUUUUGAAUGUAGUAACAUGGCUUAGAGAAUUUGCUCAAUUCCUUACAAGAAAUGCACUCAAUUUUCACUCAGAUUUUCUAACUACACACCUUAUACUAGUUAUAUGUGAGAAGAUUGAUGUAGACAUAAAAACGAACGCUCACAUAUAUAUAUAUAUAUAUAUAACAAAGAAAGCAUUUUCUGGAGUUAAUAAGCAUUUAUAUAUGAUCUCAUGAAUGGAAUGCUACUACUUAGAUGCGAGAACCAGUGACACCAUAUGCUCAU